rnacentral:rRNA from 1 species
GUCUUCUUGACUGGAUAAUAAGAAGUCUGACCUGCCCAGUGAAAAAUUAUUUAACGGCCGCGGUAUUUUGACCGUGCAAAGGUAGCAUAAUCAUUAGUCUUUUAAUAGAGGGCUGGUAUGAAAGGUUUGACGAGGUGCUGACUGUCUCAUUUAAUUUGAAAUUAAAAUUUAACUUUUCAGUCAAAAGGCUGAAAUAAUAUUGGAAGACGAGAAGACCCUAUAGAGCUUUAUAUUUAAUUUAUUAAUAAUUUUUUGGAUAUUAAUUUUUAUUAUUAAUUUAAGUAUUUUGUUGGGGUGACAAAAAUAUAAAAUUAACUUUUUUAUCUAUUAAACAUUAAUUUAUGGUUAUUAGAUCCAAUCUUAUUGAUUGUUAGAAUAAGUUACCUUAGGGAUAACAGCGUAAUCUUCCUCCAGAGUUCAUAUUUACAGGAAGGCUUGCGACCUCGAUGUUGGAUUAAGAUAAUAAUUAGGUGUAGCCGCUUAAUAUAUAGGUCUGUUCGACCUUUAAAUUCUU